rnacentral:rRNA from 1 species
UACGGGGGGAGCAAGCGUUGUUCGGAUUUACUGGGCGUAAAGGGCGGGUAGGCGGCCACUGCAAGUCGGUUGUGAAAUCUCCGGGCUUAACCCGGAAAGGUCAAUCGAUACUGCAGGGCUAGAGUGCAGAAGGGGCAACUGGAAUUCUCGGUGUAGCGGUGAAAUGCGUAGAUAUCGAGAGGAACACCUGCGGCGAAGGCGGGCUGCUGGGCUGACACUGACGCUGAACUGCGAAAGCUAGGGGAGCAAACGGG